rnacentral:rRNA from 1 species
AUGGCGCGUACGAAGCAGACCGCCCGGAAGUCUACCGGCGGCAAGGCGCCUCGCAAGCAGCUGGCCACCAAGGCGGCGAGGAAGUCGGCGCCGACCACCGGCGGCGUGAAGAAGCCCCACCGCUACAGGCCCGGCACGGUGGCGCUGCGUGAGAUCCGCAAGUACCAGAAGAGCACGGAGCUGCUCAUCCGCAAGCUGCCGUUCCAGCGCCUGGUGCGGGAGAUCGCGCAGGACUUCAAGACGGACCUCCGGUUCCAGAGCCACGCCGUGCUGGCGCUCCAGGAGGCUGCCGAGGCGUACCUCGUCGGGCUCUUCGAGGACACCAACCUCUGCGCCAUCCACGCCAAGCGCGUCACCAUCAUGCCCAAGGACAUCCAGCUCGCCCGCCGCAUCCGCGGGGAGCGCGCCUAG